UUCCAGUUGAUCAAUCAGGUGACGAACCUUCAGCGGAAGAGGAUGAGGGCUGUGAUCAUUCAUAUGUUCUCAAAGAUGAUAUAGGCUAUGUAUGCCACGUUUGCGGCGUCAUUCAAAGUGCAAUUGAGACUAUAUUUGAUUACCAGUACAUAAAGAUUCAAAGGAACAACUAUGUGUGAAUGAUUUAGAUUGUUUCUGUACCCCCUGUUGCCUGUUGGUAUGUUCUCUGUCUCCAGUUUCCAGUUUUAGCAAUUAGUGGGUGUUUCGAAGGAUUCAAUCUUUGAGCAAUGUGAUUGAUUUUACGAGAUAUAAGGUCACAAAUUUACUAGAUAUAUCAGACAUAAAUGUGACCCUAUAUUGAAACAGAUUUUAAAAUUUAUGGUCACACAUUUUUAUCAGUGACCCGUAGUUGCAGUAAUGAUUUUGCUAAUGUCUUACCUUUUAUGUUUACUUGCAGGGUUCAUGUGCAUGUUGUUGGAGGACAAGCUGGCAUAAUCUUUCUACCAUGGUUUUCUCAGGCUUUCCCACAAGCCAAUCUCUCAUAUCAAGACAUUGAAGCUCUUACAAAGAGAACACAAGAUGGAGGAAUAGAGGUCGUGAAUGCAAAGGCUAGAAAGGGUUUAG